rnacentral:rRNA from 1 species
ACUCCUACGGGAGGCAGCAGUAGGGAAUCUUCCACAAUGGGCGCAAGCCUGAUGGAGCAACACCGCGUGAGUGAAGUAAGGGUUUCGGCUACGUAAAGCUCUGUUAGUUAAAGAAGAACACGUAUGAGAGUAACUGUUCAUACGUUGACGGUAUUAACCAGAAAGUCACGGCUAACUACGUGCCAGCAGCCGCGGUAAUACGUAGGUGGCAAGCGUUAUCCGGAUUUAUUGGGCGUAAAGAGAGUGCAGGCGGUUUUCUAAGUCUGAUGUGAAAGCCUUCGGCGUUAACCGGAGAAGUGCAUCGGAAACUAGGAUAACUUGAGUGCAGAAGAGGGUAGUGGAACU